GCACUCGCCUGCACCGAAAUCAUCGGAGCGCGGCCCUGCGCCGCCCCCUCCCGGGCCGGGCCGCGGAGCUCCUGGGCCCCGGGGCGGCGAGGCCCGGCGG
rnacentral:miRNA from 1 species